AUUCGUGAAUGGCACGAUUGAUUUAGCUCAAACUGUGCCUAUCAAAGGAAGGUCUAUCAUGGAGCACUUCUGUGUACCAAUAAGUUUCACUUUCACUCUAAAAAUGUAGAUAAUGACCGGAUUGUUUGCAAGCUAGAUUUCUCAAAGGCAUUUAACAAGCUCAGUCUUCAGCAUCAGCUAAAAGUGCCCUCUCUCUCCAGAACUUCCCUCCAAGGUGGAUUGAUUGGUUGAAGAACACCCAUCUCUCUUGGAAAAUUACUAUAAAUGUCAAGGGUGAACUAGAAAAAUUAGAUUUUAUGUAGACGUGAGCUCAGACAAGGAGAUCCACUAUCGUCGUAUUUAUUUAUCUUAGCAGUUGAUUUGCGUUGCAAAAUGCUGAAUAAAGCAGUAG
rnacentral:lncRNA from 1 species